rnacentral:rRNA from 1 species
AUACGUAGGUGACAAGCGUUAUCCGGAUUUACUGGGCGUAAAGGGCGUGUAGGCGGUCUUGCAAGUCAGAAGUGAAAUUCCUGAGCUCAACUCGGGCGCUGCUUCGGAAACUGCAGGACUUGAGUGCUGGAGGGGAUAGCGGAAUUCCUAAUGGAGCGGUAAAAUGCGCAGAUAUUAGGAAGAACACCGGUGGCGAAGGCGGCUAUCUGGACAGUAACUGACGCUGAGGCGCGAAAGUGUGGGGAGCAAACAGGAUUAGAUACCCUGGUAGUCCACACUGUAAACGAUGAAUGCUAGGUGUAGGAGGUAUCGACCCCUUCUGUGCCGCAGUAAACACAGUAAGCAUUCCGCCUGGGGAGUACGGUCGCAAGAUUAAAACUCAAAUGAAUUGACGGGG